CCCUGAGGGGGAUGCGAAGAAAGGGAAAGAAAGGUGCUAAAUAGAGGGAGAAGACAAGAAGAUUGAAGGAUGAGCGGCCCGAGCAGUCCAAAUCUAGGAGCGCAUCCAUGCCUUGGAACUAAGGAACCGGAAGGCGCAGAGGCAGCCAGGCAAACCCCGGGGUGGUGGAUCAGCCAGAGCAAAUGUGGGAUAAGGUCAGUGUGCCGGAGUACCAGUAUUGGACUCUGGGGAUGCAGGGCUCUUCCUGGACCAUAUCAUCUAUUAUGGAUGUAAAGCUGAUGGAGUGGGGAUGUCCUUGGGGACUGGGUCCUCCAGUGUCAAUUGGGAGUGGAAGAUCUAGUCACACAGAGAGUCAGCAGCAGUUUUCAAACCUUUAAGUGUCCUCUGGCACGGUGAAGUCAAGGGCUCUGAUAGUCCUGGAAGUGUGGCUAAGAAAUCUCCCAGUAACAGUUGGGUAUCUGGUCUUGCCAAGAUUCUGUACAAUCUGGGAGUCUCUGCUUAUUUUUCUGGCUACAUUGCAUCCUUUCCUGUCCCUUGGGACAUUUAUUAUUAUUAUUAUUAUUAUUAUUAUUAUUAUUAUUAUUAUUCCUCAGAUGACCUCAGCCCUUAACUGAUGUUCCUCCUCAUCACCUUGUCCUCCAGCCUCAAGGAGUCUGCUUUCAGCUCCUUAGCCUGGCUACCCUCUAGGACUCUUUAAAAGAUGACAGGGUAACCUUUACCCCAGCUAACCCUAUUAUCCUCAAGACUUAGCCCUCCUAUAGAGAGAGGGUGGCCUUGACUUCUACCAUUGUAGACAAAGCCAGCUUGCCCACCAGUCUCUGAUCCUAUAAGAAGCAGAUGUGAGGGUGGAGUGAAGCCAAGGAGGGGGUCUCCCCCUGUGACCACGGGAGGAGAGUCUCCACAGGGUUGUAGUCUGGCGCUGGAAAGCCAGAAGAGGCAGAAAGAAACAUCGAAGCAGAGCAACUCUGGCUGUGGUGGCUCAGAAGUCCUGGCAACCCGACUUCCGGUGAGAGAACCCCACCUGGCAAACCUAACUUCCGGUGGAGGAAUCCCACCUGGGAUUGAGAGAUAAAGGAACCAAGGCUCAGAGAGGUGCUUUGACUCACCCAAGGAGACCCAGCUGAGAACCUGCCUUAGGUCUGAUCAGACAGCUUGGCUACAAAGCCUUCAUCAUACAUCACCAGAGCUUCUCUCUAAGAGACCCAAUAUGCCAGCGCUGGGUGAGUGGGUGGACUCCUGCAAGAAAAGCCCCUCCCCUCCCACGUCUGCUGCGUUCAUCAUAUCCCCAUCAACCUCUUGCUGGGCAAGAGUGGAAGCUCAGCAAUCAGUCAAAAGAAAGACUACGUUGCCAGUGACCACGCCCCUCUGCUCACCUUUGGCCAAGGCCAGGUGGUACUUUGAGUGCUUGCGCUGCUUUCCCCGAGUGUUGGGAGAUCAUUGGAUCCCUGCCCUGGCUCCGACACCCUGCCAAGUGUCUUUCCUUCAAAGUUGGAGAUAUUUCUGUCCCUGAAAUGCUCACAUUUCAGCACCUUGCUGAGGUCUUUUGGAAGAGACUGGCUGGUGGGAGGCUGAUCGCCAGACUCUGCAGGGCCAGGGGACUUGGGACAGGGCUCCCCACCAGCUGGUCUGAAUGUGUGUGGCUCAAACUCCGGUAGGAGAGCUUCACAUGCAAGCAAGUGAGGCGGAUCAGAGGCUCAAAACAAGGGCCUGGGGCAUUGCAAACCAUUUUUAUGGCUGUUUUCUUUUCCAAGACAGGGUUUUUCUCUGUAACCCUGGCUGUCCUGGGAUUCUCUCUCUCUGUAAUUGAGGCUGGUCUCCAACUCACAGACAUCUGCCUGCUUCUGCCUCCAAAGUGCUGGGAUUAAAAGCUUGCACGAUUACUGCCCAGCUUAAGUGCUGUGGACUUUGAAUUCAGCAAGCCAAAUUUUAACCCCAGUACUGCCUUUUCCAGUGGGUGACUGAGCUGAUCGCUUUUGCACCUUAGUAGACUGAAGCCCAUGGUAGCAGUUGCCUUGUUAGGCUUAGAGAAGUGUCAGCCUUCAAUAAAAAUGGAUCAUUACCUGAACAUC